GAUAACGGCGUCGAGCGGCGGACGGGUGAGUAAUGCCUAGGAAAUUGCCCUGAUGUGGGGGAUAACCAUUGGAAACGAUGGCUAAUACCGCAUAAUGCCUACGGGCCAAAGAGGGGGACCUUCGGGCCUCUCGCGUCAGGAUAUGCCUAGGUGGGAUUAGCUAGUUGGUGAGGUAAGGGCUCACCAAGGCGACGAUCCCUAGCUGGUCUGAGAGGAUGAUCAGCCACACUGGAACUGAGACACGGUCCAGACUCCUACGGGAGGCAGCAGUGGGGAAUAUUGCACAAUGGGCGCAAGCCUGAUGCAGCCAUGCCGCGUGUGUGAAGAAGGCCUUCGGGUUGUAAAGCACUUUCAGUCGUGAGGAAGGUAGUGUAGUUAAUAGCUGCAUUAUUUGACGUUAGCGACAGAAGAAGCACCGGCUAACUCCGUGCCAGCAGCCGCGGUAAUACGGAGGGUGCGAGCGUUAAUCGGAAUUACUGGGCGUAAAGCGCAUGCAGGUGGUUUGUUAAGUCAGAUGUGAAAGCCCGGGGCUCAACCUCGGAAUUGCAUUUGAAACUGGCAGACUAGAGUACUGUAGAGGGGGGUAGAAUUUCAGGUGUAGCGGUGAAAUGCGUAGAGAUCUGAAGGAAUACCGGUGGCGAAGGCGGCCCCCUGGACAGAUACUGACACUCAGAUGCGAAAGCGUGGGGAGCAAACAGGAUUAGAUACCCUGGUAGUCCACGCCGUAAACGAUGUCUACUUGGAGGUUGUGGCCUUGAGCCGUGGCUUUCGGAGCUAACGCGUUAAGUAGACCGCCUGGGGAGUACGGUCGCAAGAUUAAAACUCAAAUGAAUUGACGGGGGCCCGCACAAGCGGUGGAGCAUGUGGUUUAAUUCGAUGCAACGCGAAGAACCUUACCUACUCUUGACAUCCAGAGAACUUUCCAGAGAUGGAUUGGUGCCUUCGGGAACUCUGAGACAGGUGCUGCAUGGCUGUCGUCAGCUCGUGUUGUGAAAUGUUGGGUUAAGUCCCGCAACGAGCGCAACCCUUAUCCUUGUUUGCCAGCGAGUAAUGUCGGGAACUCCAGGGAGACUGCCGGUGAUAAACCGGAGGAAGGUGGGGACGACGUCAAGUCAUCAUGGCCCUUACGAGUAGGGCUACACACGUGCUACAAUGGCGCAUACAGAGGGCAGCCAACUUGCGAGAGUGAGCGAAUCCCAAAAAGUGCGUCGUAGUCCGGAUUGGAGUCUGCAACUCGAC
rnacentral:rRNA from 1 species